rnacentral:rRNA from 1 species
GUAGGGAAUAUUGGACAAUGGGGGCAACCCUGAUCCAGCGACGCCGCGUGAGUGAUGAAGGCCUUCGGGUCGUAAAGCUCUGUUGCAGGGGAAGAACACAAUGACGGUACCCUGCUAGAAAGGAUCGGCUAACUUCGUGCCAGCAGCCGCGGUAAGACGAGGGAUCCUAGCGUUGUUCGGAAUUAUUGGGCGUAAAGCGGGUGCAGGUGGCUUGGUAAGUCAGAUGUGAAAGCCUGGGGCUUAACCCCAGAAGUGCAUUUGAUACUGCUGAGCUUGAGUGCUGGAGAGGCUAUUAGAAUUCCUGGUGUAGUGGUGAAAUACGUAGAUAUCAGGAGGAAUACCGGAGGCGAAGGCGGAUAGCUGGCAAGACACUGACACUCAGACCCGAAAGCGUGGGGAUCAAACAGGAUUAGAAACCCGAGUAGUCC